rnacentral:rRNA from 1 species
UAUUAAUUAUUUAAAAUUUAAUUUUUGAGUUAAAAAGCUUAAAUUUUUUUAAAGGACGAAAAAACCCUAUANAUCUUUAUUUUCAUAAUUUUAUUGAUUUUGUAUUUAUUUAUUUAUUUAUUGAAUUUUUGGUUGGGGUGAUCUUGAAAAAUAAUUAACUCUUUAUUUUUUUUUUCAUUUAUUUUUGUAAAAUUG